rnacentral:lncRNA from 1 species
CUAAUACAGGUAAAAACGAUGAUAAACAUUUAUUUUUUAUCUGUAAUAUGAAAUUAAAUAGACCUAGAAUAAUUCAACAGCACAUGUUUGCUUAAUCUAUUUAUAUCUAUAUUUAUGUUUACAUCGCUUAUAGGGUCAGCAGAUGACUACAGAGUUCAACUCGAUAAAUUAUUAGAUGUCGUCUAGACUCAAAUACACACGAAACGAAG